UACGUAGGGUGCAAGCGUUGUCCGGAAUUAUUGGGCGUAAAGAGCUCGUAGGCGGUCUGUCGCGUCGGCUGUGAAAACCCGGGGCUCAACCCCGGGCCUGCAGUCGAUACGGGCAGACUAGAGUGCGGUAGGGGAGACUGGAAUUCCUGGUGUAGCGGUGAAAUGCGCAGAUAUCAGGAGGAACACCGGUGGCGAAGGCGGGUCUCUGGGCCGUACCUGACACUGAUGCGCGACAGCAUGGGGAGCAAACAGG
rnacentral:rRNA from 1 species